UCACAUUCAUAUUAGAUGAUUACGAACAAGCGCAGCUAUCUUUGGAGAGGUAAUGCACCUACUGAUAUCCCGUGAUAAGAACUUGGGAGAGAUUUAGUGAAAACCUGGAGAACGGCCACUUAGCUCACAAAUCUGAGCUGUUCACAUCAAGCUGAUAUUUGUGACAGCCAUUAUAGCUUUAAUCAUUUUCUCGAUUGAUCAAAGCACCACAGACUGCAUCGUUCGUCACCUCUGCCUUUAAGCGCGUUAUCACCUACUCCAAUAAGCCACCCCAAUAUCCUUAAUAAGCAAUAGAAGUUCUUAUCGACUGUGUAUGACUCAUUAAUAUCCAUGUUCUGUAUAAAUUUAUGUGAUAGGCCUACUGGUAUUAAUGUUGAUGUACCGUAAUGUUUUUUGCUCAUGUAUAAUUGAUAAUAAUACAUUAAAAAUAAAUAUA
rnacentral:lncRNA from 1 species